UAUGGUCCACAGUUAUAUCAGU
rnacentral:piRNA from 2 species